AGCGCCGAGCCGCGCCGGGCAGGGUCCCCGCGGGCUGCGGGAGCCCGCCUCGCUCGGCGCCCACCGCCGGGGCUGCCAGGCCCCGCCGCCCCGCACAGCGCCCUCCCCGGCCACUGGCGCCGCUCACCGCGCCGGGCCACAGCCGCCGUUGCUGGCCGGCCGCUGGCCCCGCAGCUCCGGCGGCGGCGGGGCUCCCCGCGCUCCCGCCAUAAGCGCGGCCUGUCCCCGGGGGAACAAAGACGCGGCGGGGCUGGGGCGGGCUCCGCCGCGGGCCAGCGGCCGGCGGGACGCUCUGGGCGAGGCGCCGGCCCCGGGGCGGGCUCGGCUGCUGAGGGGCCGGCGCGCGGCCGCGGGGACCGUUAGUGCGCGCGAGGGCGGGGGUCGGGGCGCGAGCGGUCGCUGCCCGCCCUGACUGGAAGAGACAGGGACGGGCGAGGGACGGGGCCACCACGCCGGGCUCCUUCUGGCCACUUCUCAGCCACGGUCGCCCACGGGCCGCAGCCCCAGUUCCUCCCCGUCCAGGCGGGCAUUGAGCUGAAGCCCCGGGCUCCAGCGGCUCCCUCCAGCUGCGAUUUGACACGGCCUUUCAUGAACAAACAGGAACGCACACCCCGCCGUGUCUUCCCCGCAGACCGGCCUGUUGUUCGCAUCAGCCCGUGAGCUCCCUCUGCAGCCCCCGCGCCAGCAGGACACUCCAACAGCUCCCUUGGAUGCCUCCGUAAAGACGGCACAUUCCUGCAGAAGAGACCCCUGCUGCAUUUCCGCAAGACACAGGAUGACAGACACGACGAUUUAUCAUCCUGCCGAGCACCUUCAAAAACCCUGUGCCCUUUGAAAGUGGUCACCCAGAACUGAUCAUCUUCACUGUGAAAUGAAGAAUAGCUAAGGUCUAGUGCCCUGCUGAGCUGAAUGAGGAGCCUGUGAGCUGCUGCAUGUUUGUGAAGCUACGAAGGCCUUGAAAGGAGCCAGAGCAGAGCCAACAGGUACCCAGUUUGUAAGAUGGGGCAGUGAACACUCAUCCACCUGUGAAACUCACUGGAAUGGUUACAAAGUCCUGGAAGAACACAACAUGUGUCAUUAGCAGAAAUAACAAAGAAAAGUAGAAAUACGAACAACUGCCCGAAGUGGGUUUUUGUCACACCACACCAGGCAACGUGCUUCAGUUGCCUUGCACAGGGGCACAAGGGACAACACAGGCUCUGGGGUCCCACAUGGGAGACAACUCUGGCUUCAACAAGAGGGAAGACGACCCUUCAGAGGCAGAUCUUCCAACAGAGAGGCUCAAGCAAAAGAGGGAGGUGUAGGCACUGCUGGGCCAGCCGGAGUACCCUGCACUCAUGCCUGCACUCUGAAUCAUGCUAAGCAAUUCACUUGUCUGUCCUACAACUAAACCUCCUUUGGUGCUUUUCUUCAGGUAUUUUAUUGGGUUGAUUGGGAGCAUGAUCUGGCUGUCAUUUCUGAAGGAGAGGGAUGAUUAUCACUGCAUAUAUGACAGGGCUUUUCCAAUCACAGACCAUGCAUACCCGUCUACUCUGCUUGGAUAACGUACAAAGACUUAAUACAUUCAAGCCACGCCUGAGCAAAGUUUACAGCACAAAUAACUGGUAGGGAGUGGUACAGCUAUGGGUUUUCCAAGGCAAGUGUCUGUCACUGAGGCAACAAGGAUUGAUGGGAAACUAUGAGAAAUGAGAUAAAGGCAGGUGAGAAGCAGUAGGAAGGUGGCCAAAAGACACGAAUAGAGAAGGAGGCUAGGUUAGGCCAACAUUAACAAUUAUCAUGAAAAUAAAAAUUAAUACAAAGGACUAAUACAGUGAGGGGUAUGCUUCUGAUGGAGAAGUGCUGGACUAGACAAAGAGGAUCAUGAAGCCAGAAGACAUCCUAUUUUUCUCCCAACAGUUUCUAUAUACACAUGCAAAUAUAGACACACAUACAGAGCUAGGCAACAGGCUGUGAGCACAUUCCUCCUUGCGUCUUAAAUAGACAAAGGAGAAAGUGGGGAAUUGAUGGGUAAAUGGACACAAGGCACAGCACUGCAACACCUACCCAUCUGCCUCUCUUCCCCUAUAUACACCGUCCUACCCUCCUGCUUCUACAAAUCUCCAGCUCAACUGCCUUAAAAGAAGCCCUGGGAUCUGAUAUGCUGACCACAUUUUCAAGAUGUGUCUGCAUACAAUAUUUUAUGUCUCCUCCUUUGUCUGAAUAUACAAAUGUCAGUUGUACAAAGAGCCACCGCAUGCGCAGCUGGACGCACACAAGAGGCAGAAAACUCAAGUCUUUAACUGAUCUACCAAACAGAAUCAAGAAUGUAUUUCCCUGUCCCAGCUUCUAUAAACAUGUGCAGUAAGAAGUAUCUUUGUUUUGUAAUGAUAACCAGCUUGUGUCAGGGUACAAUAUUCAGUUGUGAUAAUGGUAAAAACACUGUGGAAGUGAGUAUAAAUACAGAAAUAGGCUUUUUAUGCAAAACUUAUUUCUACUAAACUUUUUUCCCAUAUGCAAAAAUCACAAGUUUGGAAGAGAAGUUUCACAGCAAGAGCUGCUUAUUCCAACACAAGAUUGUUUUUGCCCCCGCUUCCUGCACACCCCCCCUUCAUUUGCCACAAAAGCGUGACUGCAGGCAGCCUGAAAAAAAAAAAACCAAAACCAUUACCUUUUCCAGAAUUGCAUCUUUUCCCAAAAUAGAAAAAUGCUUCUGAUAGCAAUAAUGCCUUCAUGGCAAAUAUAUAACCAAGGUGUUAUUCAAGGCAGGAAAGCUACCAGAAAACAUAUUAGCUUAGCUUCAGAAGUACAUUUACUUAUCACUAACACAGAAUUUGCAAAGAGCCCCUGCUAUUAUCUUUCCCAUACAACUAUCACAAGUGGUAACAUGACCCAAAAAAAAGUUAAUGAAAAAAACCUCAGGAGAAAUUAAGUUAAUAUUUUGAUCACAACAUCUAGCUUGUUGUUAAACAAAGGAAGAAAAUAAUUUUUUAAAAAAUGGGAAAAAAUUAAGAAAUCUAACUAGCCCUGUACAGCAAAUGUUUUCUUCUGUCCACUCUGAAGUCUCUUUCAUGUGCUAAUGGUGGCAUUUUUUUAAACUCUUCCCCUUUGACUUACUCAGACCUUUAAGGACCUCACACAUCUAAUGGUUCCUCACAUUCACCAAGAACAAUCAAGAGAGGUCUGGGGGUUGACAUGCAGUAUGAUUAAUGGACAAUGUUGAUUUAAUUUCCUAUAACAGGAGUUUUCUCUAAGCUUUCUCCAAGGAGCAGUUUUUUGCAAUCCAGGACUUAAGUAUUUUACUAAUGAAGUCCAAUAAAUAGCAAAUUAAAUAAUGCUGUCUCCCAGAGACAAAUCCUCCCAUUUCAGGAAAAAAAAAGAAAGAAAGAAAAAAAACCACACCAGCAAAACCAACCACCGUAUUUAAAGUUCUGUUCAAAUCUAAAAAACGUUGUAUAGCAGGAAUGUACAUAGUUGUUGGGGGCUUUUUUGUUUGGUUUAUUUUGUUGUUUUGUUUAAGAAACUUGAGCAAUUAUCUGGUCAUUCCUGCCACUGUCAACUGCUUGCUCUUUUUUCUCUUUAAAGCGAGUACACAUUUAACUUAAUUUCCACUUCCAAGACAUUAGUCUGUCUUUAUUAGUCCCUUUUACAUUAUAGCUAUAAAAAUGCAUACUCAUUGUAAUACUUACAAACAUUUUAAAAGCAACUUUGAGGGUUUUUAUUUAAAAUAAUUUACAACUUUCUUGAUGUAAAAAGUGAUCAAUAUGUCCUUUUCACAAAGCAAAUUUUAACCUUCAGCUCCAACAAACGAACAAUGAAACACUAUUUGCAUACAUCCUAACUGUUACUCAAUCAACAUGACACAAUUUCCCAACUGAAUUCCCACACAGGUUUAGCUUUAAAUGGUGGAAUUUCUACCCUGAGAACGCAGGCAGCAGAGAGCAUUUCCUGCAAGAUUCUAAUCGCUUUCCCACCACUGAAAAUUUUACCUUUAAAUACUUUGAAGAUGACAUAUUUUGCUUUAUUAUAGUUAUCUUGCCAGAGUGCAAAAAAUCUCCCCCUCCUAUUCCAAGGCUUUGCGGCACUCUUGAUUCCAGUUCUUCAGCUUGUGACACAACUAGUCUGAUGUCCUGAGAGAAAAAACUGCAUCUGAUUCAGUUAUGGUGACAGUUGAUAAAGAGACAGAAAGUCUCAAAACCAGGCAGCAACCCUCCAUGCUAGUGGAGUUGGCCCAUGCAACAUUACCUCUCCUGUUCCCAUAGUAAAGCCUGCAUCUUUGCAUUUUUACCUUUAAAAUUGAUACAAGGCGUUGUCCCGUGAAAUAAUGAAACUUCCCUCAUCCUGACGGCUCCCGCUAUCUCUUUAGAGAGCCAGGCUUAACUGGUCUUAGCACUCUAUUUUGUUUUUUGAAGUACAGUACAUUCAAUCUUUAUUCUGCACUUGGGUAUCUCCUCCCUCACCAUGUCCUUCCCCUUUACAGAGUCACUAGCUUGGGAAGUUAAAAUUAAUUACUGCAAAAGUCAAGACAUGUUUAAAUAAGGAUCUCAGGACUAUUUUCCCAGAUAAACGGGUUCAAACUGGAACAGUUCAGAGAACACAUUCAAGAAGGUUACAUAAAAAUAUAUUAGGCAAUCCUUCCAACACACAACCCACCUGUUUCUGAAAGAUCUUAACUAUCUAAGAGAGCAAGAAUGUAUCUUUCUGACCCAAGAUUAGGUGCUUAGCAUGUAGAAAAUUUAAUAAUUUUCCAUGAGUUUUAGGGCCAUUUUAAGACUCUGCAGUUAAUUCAAAGAAAGCCUAGAGAUUCCUCUUACUAAGUGUCUGUCAUAUGCAACAUUUUAAUCAGCACCAAAACUAGUUAUGCUGCUAAUGCAGAUGUAACAGAUUUCAGUAUUCCAGCGCCUACGAAAGUUGAUUACUGGCUAAAUCAGUAAACUAUUGAGAGGCUUGAUGGCGUAACUUAAAAUUGACAAAUGCAUUAAACAUUAAUUAAAGCUUUCCAUUACAAAUGAACUCUGUGAAAAUGACGUUUACUUUCAAAAAACGAGAACAUGCACAGAAGUAACUGAGAUAAGAAUUAAAAAAAAAUUGAUAAUCCAAUUUCUCUAAUAGAAACACACUUAAAUGCCGUCAGAAAUAAUACAUGACAAAGUAAUCUUUUCUCUUUUUUAAGAGCACAAAGUAAAGUGAAAAUAUGUAAUUAUGACACAAAUCUGCUAUAGUGCACAGAGCAAGAGCAAUAAUGGCCGAACUACACAGGAAGGAAGGCACUACAUUUUUACAGAUGUGGCACUUGAACUGCAUAAUAAGCGUGCAGCAUUAGCAGCUGAUAGUUAACUGGCCUCUCCUCAGCAAAUCUGCUCAGAACAAGCUGAUAUUUAUCUAGGAUUCCCACUCAGUCGUGUGUAAGAGUGCUUAAAUAAAGCUGAGCCAAAGACACAGUUGUAAUGGAUGCCAUGCCCCUAAGCUCUAACAAAGGGCCACAUAGUUAAACACGAGCUUCAGUUUUGCUCAGUAAAAAUUCAAUUUACAACCUGAGUGAAUCAAUUUUUCAUCUGAACAGAGCAGUUUAGUAUUUUUCUUCCAUAAGGAAGGCAUGAACCAAGUAGGCAAGUCUGCAAAUCAGUUUGUCUGGUCACCUCACAUCAGUAUAUUUGCACUGUGCAACCUCCUGAUAUUCCCUGCUCGCUUGUUCUAGUACAUAUCAAGCUGCACAGGGACCAACAAGUAGAUAAUCAGAAACACUGCACAAGACAGAGGUUUGAUUCCUUCCCUGCCUCUGCCACUCAACCUAGUUCUUGUACAAGCAAGAACACGGAAUCUAAAAGGAGCUCUCUGCUACAAACAUAUCUAGAGAAAUUACUAGCACUGACGUACAUUGGAAACAAAACAUGAGGUGACUGUUUGUAAAUGCCAACAACAAAAUAGAAAAAAACCCAGUCUGAUCUCUAUUUACACUUACAGCCUGUUAAAUGCAAUAUGGUUCCUUCUAUAAAAGAAGUAAAAGCUUAUCAAAGCAGUAUUUGCUUUGAUAUUUUGCAGGUAAAAAAAGUUACAGGGUAAUAAAGCCCCCUCCCCUUCACUCUUUUAAUCUGUAAGGGUUUCUCCCCCUCCCCUUUUAAACCCUGAAAGAAAAAAAAAAAAAAAAACAAGGAAAAAAAUGAUAUGCAGAUAUGCCAUGUCUGCAUCUGGAAGACAGGCUCAUUUAGAGUGGUGACAGGUCUGCCUUUCAUGAUUAUGAAGUAAGGAAUGUGUGUCUUGUUUACUGACGUGUAGGGGAAGUGCACUAUCAUACCAGGACUAGGCAAGAGCUCGGGUUUGUUAAGUACAAAUAUACAUAAACCCCCAUGUCUGUGUAAGAGAAAGAGGCCACAGUUAGCUGAGGAAGAGGUUGCUUUUAAACAUGCCCAGUCUGCUUCUAGGGCUUUUGCUUUUAUUCCUGUGCAAUAUGACCAAUUUCUCCUCCCCUCUCUCAGCAAAUCCCUUAUGUUUUAGCUGAUAAGUAGUAGUAGCAAGCCUGUUACACACAAUCAGGAGAAUUGACAGAUAAGAGGUUUAGUUUAAGGAUGUAAUCAGCGUGAGUAAACACUAGACUGACCCAGCUGUAAACAGUGGAAAUAAAUGACAAUAUUUGUCCUGGUCACCUACUGAGCUAUUAGACACUUUUCAGUAUGUAACAAUGUAAAUAUAAUUGCUACAGUAUAUAUAGCAUACAGUCCUAUCAUCUGCUUCUCCAAGCAAGAAAACUGAGCUUUUAGUUGAUCUUUGUUAAGAACUAAAGUAAUUUUUGAUCUUUUUUUUUUUUUUAAACAGAGAUGUAGCUUGUUUAAAUCAACAUUUCAUUAACUGUGAAUGUCUAAUCUAAAAUACCUCAACCAGAAACAGAAUAUGUAUGUAAUACUAGAUGAUAUUUUAUGGAAUGCCAUUUGAAAACC